UCAACGGUCCUUUUUAGGACCAAACAUACACUCCAAAAUUAGCUUU
rfam:Biomphalaria glabrata isolate BB02 unplaced genomic scaffold LGTN_random_Scaffold3683, whole genome shotgun sequence.